rnacentral:rRNA from 2 species
CUGUGCAAAGGUAGCAUAAUCAUUAGUUUUUUGAUUGAAAGCUGGAAUGAAAGGUUUGAUAAAAAAAUUGCUGUCUCAAUUUUAUAUUUAGAAUUUUAUUUUUGAGUAAGAAAGCUUAAAUUUUUUAAAAAGACGAGAAGACCCUGUAGAGUUUAAUUAAUUUAAUUAUUAAUUUUAUUUGGAUUUAAUAUUGAAUUAAUUUUUAAUUUUUUUUGUUGGGGUGAUAUAAAAAUUUAAUAAACUUUUUAUUUAUAAAACCAUUGAUUUAUGAUAAAUAUGAUCCUAAUUUUUAGAUUAUAAGAAUAAAUUACCUCAGGGAUAACAGCGUUAUUUUUUUUGAGAGUUCAUAUCUAAAGAAAAGUUUGCGACCUCGAUGUUGGAUUAAAGUUAAAUUUUAAUGUAGAAGUUAAAAAUUUGGGUCUGUUCGACCUUUAAAACU